CUCCGGUGGUUGAGGAUGAGCAUGCGCAUGAUUAGUUAGUUGGCGGGGUAAUGGCCCACCAAGACGAUGAUCAUUAGGGGAACUGAGAGGUUGAUCCCCCACACUGGCACUGAGAUACGGGCCAGACUCCUACGGGAGGCAGCAGUAGGGAAUAUUGGACAAUGGGUGCGAGCCUGAUCCAGCCAUGCCGCGUGCAGGAAGACGGCCUUCUGGGUUGUAAACUGCUUUUGCCAGGGGAUAAAAAGUCCCUGCGGGGAAAAUUGAAGGUACCUGGUGAAUAAGCCACGGCUAACUACGUGCCAGCAGCCGCGGUAAUACGUAGGUGGCAAGCGUUGUCCGGAUUUAUUGGGUUUAAAGGGUGCGUAGGCGGUCAUGUAAGUCAGUGGUGAAAUACUUCAGCUUAACUGGAGAGGUGCCACUGAUACUGUGUGACUUGAGUACAGACGAGGUAGGC
rnacentral:rRNA from 1 species